rnacentral:rRNA from 1 species
GUGGGGAAUAUUGCACAAUGGGCGCAAGCCUGAUGCAGCCAUGCCGCGUGUGUGAAGAAGGCCUUCGGGUUGUAAAGCACUUUCAGUCAGGAGGAAAGGUUAGUAGUUAAUACCUGCUAGCUGUGACGUUACUGACAGAAGAAGCACCGGCUAACUCCGUGCCAGCAGCCGCGGUAAUACGGAGGGUGCGAGCGUUAAUCGGAAUUACUGGGCGUAAAGCGUACGCAGGCGGUUUGUUAAGCGAGAUGUGAAAGCCCCGGGCUCAACCUGGGAACUGCAUUUCGAACUGGCAAACUAGAGUGUGAUAGAGGGUGGUAGAAUUUCAGGUGUAGCGGUGAAAUGCGUAGAGAUCUGAAGGAAUACCGAUGGCGAAGGCAGCCACCUGGGUCAACACUGACGCUCAUGUACGAAAGCGUGGGGAGCAAACAGGAUUAGAUACCCUGGUAGUCC